rnacentral:rRNA from 1 species
AACGAACGCUGGCGGCAUGCCUAACACAUGCAAGUCGAACGAGACCUUCGGGUCUAGUGGCGCACGGGUGCGUAACGCGUGGGAACCUGCCCUUAGGUUCGGAAUAACUCCCCGAAAGGGGUGCUAAUACCGGAUAAUGUCUUCGGACCAAAGAUUGAUCGCCUUUGGAUGGGCCCGCGUUGGAUUAGCUAGUUGGUAGGGUAAAAGCCUACCAAGGCGACGAUCCAUAGCUGGUCUGAGAGGAUGAUCAGCCACACUGGGACUGAGACACGGCCCAGACUCCUACGGGAGGCAGCAGUGGGGAAUAUUGGACGAGGGGCGAAAGCCUGAUCCAGCAAUGCCGCGUGAGUGAUGAAGGCCUUAGGGUUGUAAAGCUCUUUUACCCGGGAUGAUAAUGACAGUACCGGGAGAAUAAGCUCCGGCUAACUCCGUG